rnacentral:tRNA from 1 species
UGUGGCUCUAUGGUAGAGCACUUGCCUCGCAUGUAUGAGGCCCUGCGUUCGAUUCUCAGCA